rnacentral:rRNA from 1 species
UACGUAGGGUGCAAGCGUUGUCCGGAAUUAUUAGGCGUAAAGAGCUCGUAGGCGGUUUGUCGCGUCUGCUGUGAAAACGCGAGGCUCAACCUCGCGCCUGCAGUGGGUACGGGCAGACUAGAGUGCGGUAGGGGAGAUUGGAAUUCCUGGUGUAGCGGUGGAAUGCGCAGAUAUCAGGAGGAACACCGAUGGCGAAGGCAGAUCUCUGGGCCGUAACUGACGCUGAGGAGCGAAAGCGUGGGGAGCGAACAGG